UGCAGUUGAGCGCUGAGGUUGGUACUUGUACCAACUGGAUGAGCAGCGAACGGGUGAGUAACGCGUGGGGAAUCUGCCUUUGAGCGGGGGACAACAUUUGGAAACGAAUGCUAAUACCGCAUAAAAACUUUAAACACAAGUUUUAAGUUUGAAAGAUGCAAUUGCAUCACUCAAAGAUGAUCCCGCGUUGUAUUAGCUAGUUGGUGAGGUAAAGGCUCACCAAGGCGAUGAUACAUAGCCGACCUGAGAGGGUGAUCGGCCACAUUGGGACUGAGACACGGCCCAAACUCCUACGGGAGGCAGCAGUAGGGAAUCUUCGGCAAUGGACGAAAGUCUGACCGAGCAACGCCGCGUGAGUGAAGAAGGUUUUCGGAUCGUAAAACUCUGUUGGUAGAGAAGAACGUUGGUGAGAGUGGAAAGCUCAUCAAGUGACGGUAACUACCCAGAAAGGGACGGCUAACUACGUGCCAGCAGCCGCGGUAAUACGUAGGUCCCGAGCGUUGUCCGGAUUUAUUGGGCGUAAAGCGAGCGCAGGUGGUUUAUUAAGUCUGGUGUAAAAGGCAGUGGCUCAACCAUUGUAUGCAUUGGAAACUGGUAGACUUGAGUGCAGGAGAGGAGAGUGGAAUUCCAUGUGUAGCGGUGAAAUGCGUAGAUAUAUGGAGGAACACCGGUGGCGAAAGCGGCUCUCUGGCCUGUAACUGACACUGANGCUCGAAAGCGUGGGGAGCAAACAGGAUUAGAUACCCUGGUAGUCCACGCCGUAAACGAUGAGUGCUAGAUGUAGGGAGCUAUAAGUUCUCUGUAUCGCAGCUAACGCAAUAAGCACUCCGCCUGGGGAGUACGACCGCAAGGUUGAAACUCAAAGGAAUUGANNGGGCCCGCACAAGCGGUGGANCAUGUGGUUUAAUUCGAAGCAACGCGAAGAACCUUACCNGGUCUUGACAUACUCGUGCUAUUCCUA
rnacentral:rRNA from 1 species